rnacentral:tRNA from 1 species
AAGGCCUUAGCUUAAUUAAAGUGUCUGGUUUGCAUCCAGAAGAUACAGGUUAAUACCCUGUUGGUCUUA